rnacentral:rRNA from 1 species
CAGUCGCCGCGGUAAUACGUAGGGUGCGAGCGUUAAUCGGAGUUACUGGGCGUAAAGCGUGCGCAGGCGGUUAUAUAAGACAGAUGUGAAAUCCCCGGGCUCAACCUGGGACCUGCAUUUGUGACUGUAUAGCUAGAGUACGGUAGAGGGGGAUGGAAUUCCGCGUGUAGCAGUGAAAUGCGUAGAUAUGCGGAGGAACACCGAUGGUGAAGGCAAUCCCCUGGACCUGUACUGACGCUCAUGCACGAAAGCGUGGGGAGCAAACAGGAUUAGAUACCCCCGUAGUCCCUGUCUCUUAUAC